UAGUUAACAUACAGUUUUUUCUUCUAAACUCAUUCUAUGAAGGGAGCAUUACCUUGAUUCCAGAACCAGACAAUGAUCCCACUAAACAGGAGAAUUACAGGCCAAUAUCCCUGAUGAACUUGGAUGCAGAAAUUCUCAACAAGAUGCUAGCAAAUUGAAUUCAACAGUACAUUAACAGAAUUAUUCACCAUGAUUG